AUCCCGCUAGCCAGGAGUCUGCGCCCUAGAGCGUCCCCAGCGCCGAGGGCCGGUGCCCGGCGUGCUAACCAUGCGUCUGCGGCCAAGGCCGAGCUCCGAGCGGCGUUAGCGCCCUCUGCGAAGCGCCCUGCGAUGCCCCAGCCACUGUGAACCUUUCUGCCUGCCCAGAUACACUCAACCCAGGACGAAAUCAGCCUUGGACACCCUGCACUCUGCGCACGCACGCAACAAACAGAGAAGAGUCCAGUCCGGAGGGCAGAAAGCGCAGGAGGGCCUCCCCGCGCCGGCAGGAGAAGCCGGCGGGUGCAAGGAGGCGACACUCAUCCGGGCUGGCACUGGCGACUAGGG
rnacentral:other from 13 species